rnacentral:rRNA from 1 species
ACGAACGCUGGCGGCGUGCUUAACACAUGCAAGUCGAACGGGAAGGCCCUGCUUUUGUGGGGUGCUCGAGUGGCGAACGGGUGAGUAACACAUGAGUAACCUGCCCUUGACUUUGGGAUAACUUCAGGAAACUGGGGCUAAUACCGGAUAGGAGCUCCUGCUGCAUGGUGGGGGUUGGAAAGUUUCGGCGGUUGGGGAUGGACUCGCGGCUUAUCAGCUUGUUGGUGGGGUAGUGGCUUACCAAGGCUUUGACGGGUAGCCGGCCUGAGAGGGUGACCGGCCACAUUGGGACUGAGAUACGGCCCAGACUCCUACGGGAGGCAGCAGUGGGGAAUAUUGCACAAUGGGCGGAAGCCUGAUGCAGCAACGCCGCGUGCGGGAUGACGGCCUUCGGGUUGUAAACCGCUUUCGCCUGUGACGAAGCGUGAGUGACGGUAAUGGGUAAAGAAGCACCGGCUAACUACGUG